rnacentral:rRNA from 1 species
UGCAGUCGAACGAUGAAGCCCAGCUUGCUGGGUGGAUUAGUGGCGAACGGGUGAGUAACACGUGAGUAACCUGCCCUUAACUCUGGGAUAAGCCUGGGAAACUGGGUCUAAUACCGGAUAGGAGCGCCCACCGCAUGGUGGGUGUUGGAAAGAUUUAUCGGUUUUGGAUGGACUCGCGGCCUAUCAGCUUGUUGGUGAGGUAAUGGCUCACCAAGGCGACGACGGGUAGCCGGCCUGAGAGGGUGACCGGCCACACUGGGACUGAGACACGGCCCAGACUCCUACGGGAGGCAGCAGUGGGGAAUAUUGCACAAUGGGCGCAAGCCUGAUGCAGCGACGCCGCGUGAGGGAUGACGGCCUUCGGGUUGUAAACCUCUUUCAGUAGGGAAGAAGCGAAAGUGACGGUACCUGCAGAAGAAGCACCGGCUAACUACGUGCCAGCAGCCGCGGUAAUACGUAGGGUGCGAGCGUUAUCCGGAAUUAUUGGGCGUAAAGAGCUCGUAGGCGGUUUGUCGCGUCUGUCGUGAAAGUCCGGGGCUUAACCCCGGAUCUGCGGUGGGUACGGGCAGACUAGAGUGCAGUAGGGGAGACUGGAAUUCCUGGUGUAGCGGUGGAAUGCGCAGAUAUCAGGAGGAACACCGAUGGCGAAGGCAGGUCUCUGGGCUGUAACUGACGCUGAGGAGCGAAAGCAUGGGGAGCGAACAGGAUUAGAUACCCUGGUAGUCCAUGCCGUAAACGUUGGGCACUAGGUGUGGGGACCAUUCCACGGUUUCCGCGCCGCAGCUAACGCAUUAAGUGCCCCGCCUGGGGAGUACGGCCGCAAGGCUAAACUCAAAGGAAUUGACGGGGGCCCGCACAAGCGGCGGAGCAUGCGGAUUAAUUCGAUGCAACGCGA